rnacentral:rRNA from 1 species
AUACGGAGGAUGCGAGCGUUAUCCGGAUUUAUUGGGUUUAAAGGGUGCGUAGGUGGUAGAUUAAGUCAGCGGUGAAAGUUUGUCGCUCAACGAUAAAAUUGCCGUUGAUACUGGUUUACUUGAGUAUAGUUGAAGUAGGCGGAAUGCGUGGUGUAGCGGUGAAAUGCAUAGAUAUCACGCAGAACUCCGAUUGCGAAGGCAGCUUACUAAGUUAUAACUGACACUGAAGCACGAAAGCGUGGGUAUCAAACAGGAUUAGAUACCCUGGUAGUCCACGCAGUAAACGAUGAUUACUAGCUGUUUGCGAUAUACAGUCAGUGGCACAGCGAAAGCGUUAAGUAAUCCACCUGGGGAGUACGCCGGCAACGGUGAAACUCAAAUGAAUUGACGGGG